AGGUCUUGGCGAGACUAGCCAGCGAUUAGACGAUAGGUGUCAAGUGGAAGUGCAGUGAUGCAUGCAGCCGAGACAUCCUAAGAGACCAAAAGAUUUGAAC
rnacentral:rRNA from 1 species